rnacentral:tRNA from 3 species
UGCUCCCUUAGCUCAGCUGGAUAGAGCAACUGCCUUCUAAGCAGUCGGUCGAUGGUUCGAAUCCAUCAGGGGGCGU